rnacentral:tRNA from 1 species
GGAGAGGUGUCCGAGUGGUUUAAGGAGCUGGUCUUGAAAACCAGUGACUUCUGAAAGGGGCCGUGGGUUCGAAUCCCACCCUCUCCGCCA